CCUGAACGCUGGCGGCGUGGCUAAGACAUGCAAGUCGAACGGGUGUAGCAAUACACCAGUGGCGGACGGGUGAGUAAUGAAUCGCUAACGUACCCCAAGGCCUGGGAUAGCCAGUCGAAAGAUUGGGUAAUACCAGAUGAAAUAACCUGGAGGCAUCUUCGGGUUCUCAAAGCCGCAAGGCACCAUGGGAGCGGGCGAUUUCGUAUCAGCUAGUUGGUAGGGUAACGGCCUACCAAGGCGACGACGCGUAGCCGGGCUGAGAGGUUGGCCGGCCACAUUGGGACUGAGACACUGCCCAGACUCCUACGGGGGGCUGCAGUAACGAAUCUUCCGCAAUGCACGAAAGUGUGACGGAGCGACGCCGCGUGUAGGACGAAGCCCUUCGGGGUGUAAACUACUGUCAGGGGAAAGAAAGUACUGAUCUACCCCAGAGGAAGGCACGGCUAACUCUGUGCCAGCAGCCGCGGUAAGACAGAGGUGCCGAGCGUUAGGCGGAAUCACUGGGCUUAAAGCGUGUGUAGGCGGAUGCCUAAGUACCUUGUGAAAUCCCACGGCUCAACCGUGGAACUGCUUGGUAUACUGGGUGUCUUGAGCCAGAUAGGGGCGACCGGAACAGACGGUGGAGCGGUGAAAUGCGUAGAUAUCGUCUGGAACGCCAAUGGUGAAAACAGGUCGCUGGGUCUGUGCUGACGCUGAGACGCGAAAGCCAGGGGAGCAAACGGGAUUAGAUACCCCGGUAGUCCUGGCCGUAAACGAUGUCGACUAGAUCGCAGCAGCUCUGACGCUGUUGCGGUCGAAGUAAAAAUGUUAAGUCGACCGCCUGGGAAGUACGGUCGCAAGGCUAAAACUCAAAGGAAUUGACGGGGGCUCACACAAGCGGUGGAGCAUGUGGUUCAAUUCGAAGCAACGCGCAGGACCUUACCUGGGCUUGACAUGCUAGGAUUAUCCCGAUGAAAGUUGGGUAGGCCCCGCAAGGGGUACAACUAGUACAGGUGCUGCAUGGCUGUCGUCAGCUCGUGUCGUGGAAAUGUCCGGGUUAAGUCCCUUAACGAGCGAAACCUUUGCCCUUAGUUACUAACGGGUUAUGCCAAGGACUUUAAGGGGACUGCCGUGUCAAACCCGAAGAAAAAGGGGGAGAUAACUCCAAGUCCUCCUGGGCUUUAUGCCCAGGGCCACACUUGGUUCAAUGGGGU
rnacentral:rRNA from 1 species